UUUUCAUGUAUACUGUUCAUUAGUUAUCUCAUGCUAUUUCUUUCAGUUAGUUAUUAUUCAUGUACAUGAGCCCAUGCAUCUCAGCCUAUUCUCAUCUAGCAUACCAGUACAUUCAAAGUACUGACAACAUACUUGUUUCUUGCGCUAUGAUAUUUCAUACUAUAAGUUCAUAAACUCAGGUUCCCGAUCACAUUUAGACAUUCCCGCACAUCAGCAGCAG
rnacentral:lncRNA from 1 species